GGGUCCACUCUGUUGCUACUGGCAGGGUGGAGGGAAGGCUCACCAUGGGAGCCCUGCAAUGGCCUGCGGGCACUCCCAUUGCUUCACUGAGUGGAGGAAAGGAGGCUGUACAGGACGCACAGUGGCAUCUGCUUCUGGGGCAGCUUCAGGAAGCUUCCGGUCAUGGUGGAAGGCAAAGGGGGAGCAGAGCAGGGUCUUGACCUGGAAGAUGGCUGGGGUUUGCACAGCUGGAGCAGACGAGGAGAACCUUCUCCCAGGGGUGGCACCUGCCUCCUGCUCUCAGUUCUCUCUUCUUCCAGAUGAGGAGACCGAGGGCCGUUCAACUAAGAUCACGCGGGUAGAAAGUGGCUGUCUUGUGGCUGUCCCGUGAUUCAACAUAGAUUUUUGGCAUCUAGUUUGGUGGCUUUUUUUUCUACCACACUUCUCAUCUGCCUUACGCCCGGCAGCCCUGAGCCUGACACGCCUACAGACUGAAGGAUGGAGGAGAGACAGGCUUGCAUCCUGCAGAGUCUAGCAGAGGCCCUGGGUCACUUUGCUUCCCAGAGGCACAUCCGAUUUCCCAUACUUGUUGUAAGAGAAACUAAAGUCGUCCAGUUCCAGUGGUGCUUCAGAGCCCAACAGACUCCCCCAGCGUGGCCAAUAUUCAGCUGGCCUGGGAUCUUCUGGGCGGUGCCACUGUGCUAGGCUGCAGACCUGACUUUUUGGCCGAAAAGACAAAAGAUGGUCUCUUCCACUCAUUAGUUAUGAGAGUUCUGACAACCCAUGUAACUUCUAUGAGCCCCCGUGUUCUUAUCUGUACAAUAAUCUAUACUCUUCUUACAUCAAUUAGUCGCUAGAACAAAAAUAAAAUGUCUGCUAUGAAAAGUCCAUAGCUCCGCAUUCAGCCUGAACUGUUUAUCUGUGUCUCCUCCUCCUGAUCAUGGCCUGCGG
rnacentral:lncRNA from 1 species